AAAAAAAAAAAAAUCAAUGGGGCAAAUUUCACUGAUUAGAGAACUAGGAGCCCAAACUCGUUCUGUUUUGGGCAACGGAGAGAAGGAAAUUCGCGAUGUGGCUCGCCUGUGUCACAGCCUUGGAGGUCCUGUUCGGGCCGUCGAGUGGCACAGCUGAGAUUUCUGAUCGUAAUCUGAAACGGAAAUAGCUGCCAUUUAGGAGACGUAACCGUUUCCACUAUCGCAUUUUACCUACCCGUAAAAUGCAAAUUUAUCGCUAAUUUCAAUAGCUGCUUCGUCAGAGACUGUGAGGAAUGGGCUGAUUAAUAAAUAUACCCUAGAGAUAAAUUAUCCCUUCGAAUAAGGUUAUCAGCGUUAAAAUUGUAAAAGUACUUUCCAGACGUGAAAAAUUAGGUAUGUGACAGAAAGAUAAUUAAUUAAAGAAAAAAAUAAAACAGAAACGAAACCACCGUAGGAGCACUAACUCUCUCCACAUUGGAAGAGAUGGCAACUUGUCUGAGAAAAAUUCGUCACUACGAAAAAUAUUGCCCUGCAGUUGCUGUCGCUCUGAAUUGAUAGGAGAGCAGAAAAUACUUGAUGCCUGUCACCGACGAACAGUGCUGUGGACCGCGAUUGAAUCUGAAGGAAAUCAGAUGUGCGAGAGUGAUCGAAACGUGCUAAGCUAGAGGAUCUUGCAGGAGUUUAAACGCCGUGGCGGUGGAGAUGAGAUCGAUGGUGGAGAGGAAGGAAGGAAAUGGAUGUUAUCUGUCCGAGGGCGCUCCCGCAGCCUCCUCGCCCUCCCGCCCAUCUCCGACGGUGCCUUGGGCCGCCCCGCUCAGCGCUCCCGCCGCCCGCGGCUGCCGGGCCACACACGCCAUCGCCACCGGUGCGACGGCCCCGGCGAGGCCCGCGGGAGCAGAGCCAGCCGCCGCGCGUUCCCGCCGAGGAGACCCUGACCCCUUGCUCCGCACCUCUCCGCACCCCUCCACGCCGCGCAGCGGGGUGCGCGCAGCCUGCCCCGCUCUACGGCGGAUGGACAGAUCGCCCGGAUUGUUUUUACUUUUAGAGGCAGGAACCCUGUACAGCCUGCCUCUUGCCUUCAGCACCUCCUGGCACAGAUAUCACCUUGCAUGGGAAGCAUUUCAUACCUCUGAAGAGCUGAAAGCAUACUGGGACAGUGACCACUUCACCCCAUGAGCAGCUGGAGUGCUAAACACAACGAUACUGUUGGCUGGACUAAGAGUUCUAUCCUAGUAAAAAUAACUCCC
rnacentral:lncRNA from 1 species